ACACAGGAACUGGACAAGGGAGGCCUGAAGAAUUGCCGACUCCUCUGCCUCAGAGUCACGUCUCAUGCUUUAAAGGCUUUAAGCAGAUCCAUUCUAGGAGACCUUCCCUAACACUCAGAUGUGAAGUCAUUCCAAAGCUGCCUCAAAAAGACAACAAAACAUCAUGCAUGACUGGUCUUGUGUGUAACACCAUCGGCUUCAACCAAUCUUCCCAUUCAGAGAUACUCCCCUUCUUCCUGCCUUAGAAAUACUAACACUAACGAGAAGGAGCGUCCCAGCUGAAUCCUUGUUUAUUUGGAUAGAGAUAGAGAAGAAUCUCAGUCCCCAGACAGGCAAAAGUGAGUUAACAGCAAAAUAAACAGUUCAUAUUUAA